rnacentral:rRNA from 1 species
UACAGAGGGUGCGAGCGUUAAUCGGAAUUACUGGGCGUAAAGCGUGCGUAGACGGUUUCGUAAGUCGGGUGUGAAAGCCCCGGGCUCAACCUGGGAAUUGCAUUCGAGACUGCGUAGCUAGGGUGCGGAAGAGGGAAGCGGAAUUUCCGGUGUAGCGGUGAAAUGCGUAGAUAUCCGAAGGAACAUCAGUGGCGAAACCGGCUUCCUGGACCAGAACUGACGAUCAGGCACGAAAGCGUGGGGAGCAAACAGG